rnacentral:rRNA from 1 species
GACGAACCGAGCGAACGUUGUUCGGAAUCACUGGGCUUAAAGGGCGCGUAGGCGGGCUGUCAAGUCUGGGGUGAAAUCCCACGGCUCAACCGUGGAACUGCCUUAGAUACUGACGGCCUCGAGGGAGAUAGGGGCGAGUGGAACUGUGAGUGGAGCGGUGAAAUGCGUUGAUAUUCACAGGAACUCCGGUGGCGAAGGCGGCUCGCUGGAUCUUUUCUGACGCUGAGGCGCGAAAGCUAGGGGAGCAAACGGG